rnacentral:rRNA from 1 species
CCUACGGGUGGCAGCAGUGAGGAAUAUUGGUCAAUGGACGAGAGUCUGAACCAGCCAAGUAGCGUGAAGGAUGACUGCCCUAUGGGUUGUAAACUUCUUUUAUAUGGGAAUAAAACGUUCCACGUGUGGGAUUUUGUAUGUACCAUAUGAAUAAGGAUUGGCUAACUCCGUGCCAGCAGCCGCGGUAAUACGGAGGAUCCGAGCGUUAUCCGGAUUUAUUGGGUUUAAAGGGAGCGUAGGUGGAUUGUUAAGUCAGUUGUGAAAGUUUGCGGCUCAACCGUAAAAUUGCAGUUGAAACUGGCAGUCUUGAGUACAGUAGAGGUGGGCGGAAUUCGUGGUGUAGCGGUGAAAUGCUUAGAUAUCACGAAGAACUCCGAUUGCGAAGGCAGUUCACUGGACUGCAACUGACACUGAGGCUCGAAAGUGUGGGUAUCAAACAGGAUUAGAUACCCUAGUAGUC